UCCAUGCUAGCUUCACCCUUUUGUGAUCCAGUGGAUUGUUUGGAUGAACUACCAUUAGCAAGGUUUUUCCUGAAGGAUCCGAUUGGAGGCCAACCCACCACCGGAGCUGAAGCACCUCUACAUCAGAUUAGAGCACGGGCAGCUGGUGUUGCGGGUGGCGGGCGGCCAAGGCGUGCGCCGAGGAGGACUGGAGGAGGGAGGGAGGAGCACGCUUAUCCGAGCAAGUGGGGGCGAGGUGAUGGGUGGUGCCUCGUCCUGCGCCCUUACACACACCUGUGUGGCGUUCCUCGUCGUGGUGGCGUAUGGAAUGGCUCCACUUCACUCCGGCCUCACGCACGGGACCACCGUGGCGGAUGAGACGAUGGCCGUCUCCUUUUCAAUGCUGGGCUGUUGGCAUUCCACUUGGGUCUCCUGUGAAGCACUGAAGCUGUGCUGCCUCCAAAUUCUCCCUGUUCAUGCUUAUCAUCAGGAAUAAUUGAUUGAAGCAGCUCAGCGGUCAUCUCGGUUGACAAAGCCGUGCUUGUUUGACUCGGGGUCUGUUUAGUUCCCCAAAAUUCCAACUUUGGCAUUAUGAAAAAAAAAUUCCCCAUCACAUCAAACUUGCGGUACAUGCAUGGAGUAUUAAAUGUAGAUGAAAUCAAAAACUAAUUGCACAGUUUUGUUGUA